AUGAGCAUUUACUUGUGCUCUUCUCCAACAAAGGCCAGGGCAGGAGUGGAGAUGGCAGUGAUUGACGCAGUUGCUAACAGCAUCCGCAUACCCUUGUGGAGAUUAUUUGGCGGAGCAUCGAACAGUGUGACGACAGACAUCACGAUUCCAAUUGUUACCCCAAAUGAAGCCGCUCAAUUGGCUGCAAAAUAUCGGGGACAAGGGUUUCAAACUCUGAAGCUCAAAGUAGGAAAAAAUUUGAACUCAGACAUUGAAGUUCUGAAGGCUAUAAGGCUUGUCCAUCCUGACUGCUCAUUUAUCUUGGAUGCAAAUGAAGGGUACACAGCAAACCAAGCAAUUGAAGUCCUUGACAGACUAAACGAAAUGGGAGUAACUCCUGUACUCUUUGAGCAACCAGUUCAUAGAGAUGACUGGGAAGGUCUCCGUGAUGUUAGCAUUGCUGCUAUGGAGAAAUACAGAGUUGCUGUUGCUGCUGAUGAAAGCUGCCGCGGUUUACUUGAUGCUCAAAAAAUAAUACAUGGAAAUCUUGCUCAUGUUAUUAACAUCAAACUGGCAAAGUUAGGGGUUCUUGGAGCCCUCGAAGUAAUUGAUGCCGCAAGAAAAGCUGGUAUUGCACUUAUGAUUGGUGGUAUGGUCGAGACUAGGAUUGCCAUGGGCUUUGCCGGCCAUCUCACUGCUGGGCUUGGUUGUUUCAGUUUUAUUGACCUGGACACACCUCUUUUAUUGUCCGAAGAUCCAGUGUACGGUGGCUAUGAAGCUUCUGGACCUGUCUACAAGUUUAAGAAUGCUCGAGGCCAUGGCGGUUUCCUUCAUUUGGACAACAAUAAUGGAUGGACAUAA
rnacentral:rRNA from 1 species